rnacentral:tRNA from 1 species
UCCCUGGAGGACUAUUGGUUAGGCCACGGCCCUUUCACUGCCAAGGCCUGGGUUCGAUUCCUAGCCAGGGAA